rnacentral:misc_RNA from 1 species
GUUGCUUUAAACAGACUGAUGACUACAUGAGAAAAAUCAUUGCAACUUGAUUACAACAUGUUCCAACUAGACAAGGAAAACCAUAAUUAAAUGAAUACCAUAAAUGCUCUUCUUUGUGGUUUACGCGUAAGCAAACUACCAUUUGAAAAAAAAAAUGUUUCCUUUCCUACUUCCUAGCUUACACUAUGAAUUACCAUCACCAAUAAUAACAUCCCUUUGUUUGGCAAGAAUUAUUACUACAGGCUUACUGGUAAAACUUUUUUUUUCCUCUUCUCAGAAAGGGUAAGACUUAAAAUAUAUGCAUCGCUUUUGUUACGACAAACAUAUAGUGGCAAGUUGAGAAUGUAGAUUGAAAAUGUAUUCCUGAAUGUUCAAAAGAGGCUACAUAAAAUCAUAUAUAAAGAAAUAUCUGAUCCAGUUACAAAAAAGAAAGUUACCUGAAGAAAGAAAUAAAGAUCUUU